CUCUCUACCAUGCUCCCUCGUGGUUCCCACAAUUCCCAGCAUAUGCUGUGCUGGGAAUUGUGGGAACCACGAGGGAGCAUGGUAGAGA